rnacentral:rRNA from 1 species
UACGUAGGGAGCAAGCGUUGUCCGGAAUCAUUGGGCGUAAAGCGCGCGUAGGCGGCCCUGUAAGUCCGCUGUGAAAGUCAAAGGCUCAACCUUUGAAAGCCGGUGGAUACUGCAGGGCUAGAGUCCGGAAGAGGCGAGUGGAAUUCCUGGUGUAGCGGUGGAAUGCGCAGAUAUCAGGAGGAACACCAAUAGCGAAGGCAGCUCGCUGGGACGGUACUGACGCUAAGGCGCGAAAGCGUGGGGAGCAAACGGG